AUCUUUUCCACGACCACGGGUAGUGUCUUUUUAACAUGGUUGUUUAAGAAAUGAGUAAUAAUAACAAUAACUUGUUGCCAGCUGAAAGAUAAUCGCCCGUGUUGUAACUAUCUAAAAGGAGGCUCUUACUAUUUGCUUAGUUAAAUCCAGAUGGCAACUUUUUUUUUUGGCCAGGCAGUGUAUAUUACAUUCCCCAAAAUCAUUAGUCCC